AUUGAACGCUGGCGGAAUGCUUUACACAUGCAAGUCGAACGGCAGCACGGGGCAACCUGGUGGCGAGUGGCGAACGGGUGGAGUAAUACAUCGGAACGUGCCCAAUCGGUGGGGGAUAACGUAGCGAAAGUUACGCUAAUACCGCAUACGAUCUACGGAUGAAAGGCGGGGGAUCGCAAGACCUCGCGCGAAUGGAGCGGCCGAUGUCAGAUUAGGUAGUUGGGUAGGGGUAAAGGCUCACCAAGCCAACGAUCUGUAGCUGGUCUGAGAGGACGACCAGCCACACUGGAACUGAGACACGGUCCAGACUCCUACGGGAGGCAGCAGUGGGGAAUUUUGGACAAUGGGCGCAAGCCUGAUCCAGCCAUUCCGCGUGCAGGAUGAAGGCCUUCGGUUGUAAACUGUCUUUGUACGGUAACGAAAA
rnacentral:rRNA from 1 species